AGGUUCUGAAACCUGCUGAAUAGAAUGGUCCUCUCCAUCACUAUAGGGAGACUCAGUGAGAGAAAGCACCUGCAUGCCUUCAUUAUGGACAGCUCUCAGUAAUCCCUGGAAACCAAAACCCAAGAGCCAGAAUUAUGACAACUUCUUCACAGACUGAAAAAUUAGACUUACAAACAGAAAUAAAUUUUAAGCAAGAUAGCUUGCAGAGAGAAAACUCCAGCCCAACAUUACUGAAUGCCUUCUUCCUGUGGAGGGGUAAGCCAACCCCAGCAGAUGGCCUAUGACUUUCCAUAGCUCUCAUCUCUAAGUUCCUUCUGUUUGGCUAAUGUACUCUUCCUAGGUUUACUGAUAAGCUACUGAUUUGACCAAAAUAAAUACAUGGGCUCUAACUUCUACUCUUUGAGACUACUUUAAAAAU
rnacentral:lncRNA from 1 species